AACUGCAGUUCAACUAGGUCACCAAAACUGUAAACAAAGUCGUAGGAUAAAAGGCGCACCGGACGUACCAAAGAAGGAAAAGGUUCCCGUAGUGUAUAAAUUCCUAACAGCGCAGCUUGUGGCCGCAAAAACAAUGAUCAAUUACCAAAAGAUAAAUUACUUAAGAAAAACUCGCUGAAUUCGUCUAAACGAACGCAGUAUUUCAACAGAUUUUCCCAUUUUUGUUGAAUUAAAAAUAGCUGGUGCUAUUAUUGAACAGAUGGAUGAAAAAUUAAUUGCCAAAGUUCGCGCAAGACCGUUAAUCUGGCACAACUCUGUUAUUAAGAGAACUUCGCGCGCGGGCCAUGCUGCCCUAUGGGAUCAAAUCGGGUGUACAAAGUAAGUUAAAGCGCUUCAAUAUUCAACGUUUCUCGGAAACAAAAACAUUUCAGCGGAGGACGCAAGAAGAAGAUGGAGGACAUUGCGAGACACUUUCACUAGACGAUACAAUGCCGGCACUGAUUCGGAGCAUCGUCAGUCGAUGAUGUUUUUGCUGGGCAAAAAGCCCGACCUAAUACCAAUGUAUGACCGUAGUCGUAGAAAAACAAAGAACGAACCAAGACCAAAGUUUAAACUGAUCCCAACAGUGCGAAACGAUGCUUCUUCCGUUUAGGCUGUUGCAGAUGGCGAACGGAGUGUCUCCGUUUCCUCCGGUGACGAUAAUGAUGAUGCGGGAAUCAACUUUAUUCCCGCUGAGCCAGCGCCGGCUGUGGCACAUGCGAAACUUAAGAUUACACAGGGUGGUGAUCAGCCAGUCGAGAAGAGCCGGGAGUUCGAACCGUAAUUGGAUUGAAGUUAGAGUUAAGAGUUUCCGAUGUGGAUCAAAAUUCGUACUAAAAUAAAGCGGUUGAAACAUUGCUUUGAAAUAUGAUAAAAGACAGUUAUUAAA